GGAGAACAAAGGAGAAAGGAGACAGAAGUUGGUAAUUGCUCUGUGUGCGCCAUAUCUACACAUACACUUAAACCAUAGCCAUCGUGAGUGGACAAAAAAAGUGAGGCUCAAAUUCAACCCAUUCAAACGGAAGGGUGCCUACAUCAAACUGGAAUAAAAGAUCCGAAGGUGCACGCUGCCAGGAGGAAGAAGAAUCCCAAAUCCUUGCCUGAAAGAGGAGCUUUUGAAUGCGCUGUGAUUGCUGCCACUGAGAGAGCAGUAACUCCUCCUCCAACUCCUCCACAACAACAUAUGCUCGACCACUCCUCUUCAAAGUGAUCCAAUUACCUGAGUGCUGAGACUGGCAACGUCAACCACCGUGACUGAGUUCCCACAGCUCGCCCACACCAAGUCGUCCAGUACCAACAGCGUCCGCACCGGCUCUGAACCCAACUUCACACUUCUGCAGGAGUCCAGGUCCCAAAGAUCAUCUGUCAAAAUAAGUGCAACACCAUGAAUAGUGUUAUUAUUACCAGUAUAUCACUAUGUUAAGAUUGGACUUCGUGCUUAUUUAUAUGAGCAAACAAAUCACAAAAAGGACACAAAAUAAAAAGCCCGACACUUCAAGACAAAAUGUGUCAUGAUGGCAGCUACACGUCUGAUAACCUCGUUUGUUUCCAGUUCAACACACCAUCCAGUUCCCUCCCUUUCAAACUUGUCAUCCUCAGUCACGGUCAAACGUUGGCAUGCACACAUCUCUCUGCUGCAACUAAAAGCUUUGUGUAACUUACAUUUAUUGUCACUUUCAUAUCAGACGGUGCUGUGGAAUUUAGACUAGUGUGCAGCUUUUUCAUUCCGGUAUAUUUAAUCAUCUGUAUUAAAAUUGUCAAAAAAGA